AGAACGAACGCUGGCGGCAGGCUUAACACAUGCAAGUCGAACGCUCCGCAAGGAGAGUGGCAGACGGGUGAGUAACACGUGGGAACAUACCCUUUGGUUCGGAACAACUCAGGGAAACUUGAGCUAAUACCGGAUAAGCCCUACGGGGAAAGAUUUAUCGCCGAAGGAUUGGCCCGCGUCUGAUUAGCUAGUUGGUGAGGUAAUGGCUCACCAAGGCGACGAUCAGUAGCUGGUCUGAGAGGAUGAUCAGCCACAUUGGGACUGAGACACGGCCCAAACUCCUACGGGAGGCAGCAGUGGGGAAUAUUGGACAAUGGGCGCAAGCCUGAUCCAGCCAUGCCGCGUGAGUGAUGAAGGCCUUAGGGUUGUAAAGCUCUUUUACCCGGGAAGAUAAUGACUGUACCGGGAGAAUAAGCCCCGGCUAACUUCGCGCCAGCAGCCGC
rnacentral:rRNA from 1 species